UCAGCAACGGCCAGUUCGCGGACCGGAGCCCUGCAGCGGUGCCUUCGUGUCCGCAAUAUUCGCUAGCGUCGACUAAUGCUUGACAGACGGCGAUGACGGAGGUGCUGGGAUGUGCUGCUGACCAUAACACACAUGCAGCAAUGAGGACGGCACCAGUAUAAAGCAACACACUCCACGCACUAAACAGAAGCUGCUGCCUGCUACAACAAGGUCACUGUGUGGACGUUGGCUACUACUACAAGAGUCCAUGCCAAGCAUAUCUUGGUCAUCACAGGAGCUCCUAUCCACACCAACAGAAAGGGGCCGGAGCCGAAUUUGCAAGGUUUUUACACCACGAACAGAGAAGAGCAUGCAGAAGAAUUUGCAUGAGAUAUCAAUUAUGCAGAUCACUGUGUCAAGACUGAAAAGAGCUUCAGCUACCAUUCCACCAGCACGGACAAAUUGGCUGAGUCAUCCAGGUAACUCGAAUAGGACUUUAUAGAAAUUCUUCGUUCAGAUGCACCUGCAACUUCUUAUCAAGCACGGACGACGCUGGCCAAAAGAGUUCCGUCAGUUUGCCCUUAAUCAGCUUCCUUGCCAUGUCAAUUCCAUUUGUGCCAAGUGUAAUUUUUCUUCUAUAAAUGCAAGCUUUUUUAUUGCCCAUUCUCGUUAGAGAUCAUUCAUCCUCAUCCAGACAUAGAGGUCAACCGAUUCUUCGCUGAUACUUAAUACCAGUCACUGUCUAGUACCAUAACAUAUCUGUAGCAGUACCUUUUAGUGUAUGUUGUCAUGCACAAUUCCUCUCCUGAAAUAGCUGAUGCAACAUCGACAUGUGUCUUGCAUUAACCUAUGCACCAUUUUCUAUGCUUUUCUUGAUGUUUUUGGCCGUCAAUGCUUGCAGAGCAGAGUGGCUUCUGCAAGCUUUCUCAUUUUCCAUAUUCCUAGUCUCGUUGAUGAUUGCUCUUCUUCCUCGAUAGCCUGGGUCUUUGCGCAAGCUACACUGAAUGAUUGAUUGCAGAAUCUGGUUUUGCUGCCCCACUUGGUUGUGGUCGCCAUGUUACAUUUCUCGGAUGUGGGGGCCUGGUCAGUUGCAUUCGUAACAGUCUCUCGAGGUAAGCAUUUGCUCCUGUAGUGCGCACAGUGACAUAGGCUCCCAGUAUACACGCACCGUAACUGGUGCUCCCGUUCCUUCUUUCCUGCCACAGCCACAGGCAUAUUGUACUUGUGGCCUGCCUCGGCCAUGAUUUGCUCAGAACGGAGACCAGCAUAUGUGCUUACAUGGUCCGACAUGUUUGAACUUGAUAGCCACAUGGGUGGAAAGGCCCACAAAAAUGGCUGCCGAAGGUGAUGCUCACGAAAGACUUGAGACAAAGUGGGACACCAAAUGUGAGCCACACAUUAGCGGCCCUCGACAGGAAAGAAACGUGCAGCUUGGAAAGGAGUUAAUGCUAAAAUGCCGGAUAGUCCAUUUCACUGUGUUGGUUGCGGCAGCAGAUGCCUGCGUCACCUGAUUGCUUCGCAAUGGAAGUUGCUCAUCUUCAACAGCAACUGUCGGUUAAAACAGGUGCAAUGCUCUGUCCAAUCUUUGUACUGCUGGUUGUACCACACCACCACAUGUGACGAAGGCAAGCAUUAUGCCUGUAAGUAGGCGGCUGAAUGUAUCCUAAGAGACCCGUGUAUGUGAAUGCUCACUGUUGCCAUAUGGUUCGUAGCCAAUGUAUAAUGUAUUCUCUGAACCUCAUGCAUUGAUUGAUUGCUGCUUCACCCGCCGUGGUUGCUCAGUGGCUAUAGUGUUGGGCUGCCGAGUACGAGGUCGCGGGAUCGAAUCCCGGCCGCCGCGGCCGCAUUUCCAUGGGCGUGGAAUGCGAAAACACCCGUGUACUUAGAUUUAGGUGCAUGUUAAAGAACCCCAGGUGGUCGAAAUUUCUGGAGUCCUCCACUACGGCGUGCCUCAUAAUCAGAAAGUGGUUUCGGCACGUAAAACCCCAUAAUUUAAUUUUUUAAAUUGCUGCUUAAUUUCGCUGUCAUCUUGCUUGGUUACGGUCGCCGUGUUAUGUUUUUCGAAUAUGGCAGCCAGGUCAGUUGCAUUGGGAAGCAGUCUCUUGAAGUAAGCAUUGGCUCUUCCGGCCCACACAGCAACAGUGGCUCCCAAUUUACACACACCGUGAUUCGUGCUCCCUGUUCAGCCUUUCCUGCUGCAGCCAUGUACAAAUUGUGCCUGUGGCCUUUCCCGGCUGCGAUUAAGCACGAACGAAGACUAGCACAUGUGCUUACAUGGUCCGACAUGUACGAAGGUGAUGCCCGCGAAAGCGACUUGUCCAUAUUGAGACAAUGUGGGACACCAAGUGUGAGCCACACAUUAGCGGCCCCUGAAAGAAAUGUGCAGGUUGGAAAGGAGUCAACGCUAAAAUGCCAGAUAGUCCAUGUCGCUGUGCAGGCUGCAGCAGCAGAUGCCUGCGUCUCUCGAUUGUUUCGCAAUGCAAAUUGCUCAUCAUUAAUGGCGACUGUCGCUGCAAACAGGCGGGACACACUGUCCAAUCUGUUUCUGCUGCUGGUUGUCGCUCGUUACCAGACCACCAGAUGCGAUGAAAGCAAGCAUUAUGCCUGUAAGUAGGCGGCUGAAUGUAUCCUAAGAGACCCGUGUUUGUGAAUGCUCACUGUUGUCAUAUGGUUCGUAGCCAAUGUAUAAUGUAUUGUCUGAACACUAUGUGGUGAAUGAUUGCCUUUUAUGUUUGCUGUUAUCUCAC